UAGUGUUUCUUCAUUUAAUAUGUUUGCAUGUAGUUCGUAUUUUCGCCACUAGGUGGCCACCUGAGCACAUCGAUACAACACAACAUCGUUCAGAAAGGGAGAGAUGUGCGUCGAUUGAAGAAAGUCACCAUUUGUGCUUCGUCUUUGUUUCUUAGAUGCCGAAAAGCUGUAGCUACACUAGAGUCGUGUUCACUUUCGAGACUUCUCAAACUCCAGAGUUCCCCAUGAGGACCUGCAGGGUAAAACCAUUUUUUUUGUUUUGUUUUUUGUUUUUUUUUUGUUUUUUGCAAUUCUAGUUCCUACAUACUGUGCACAUAGAAUGUUUAUCUAUGGUCCUUACCAGGUAUCUGUCAUACGAUACCAUAUUCAUACCCCGGACAGAUUUAGCAUUAAAGUAAUAUUCCAAGUAAUAUUUAGCCAACAUGUUUUUCUGACUCAAAAUAAUGUCAGUAUUUGAUAUUAUUUUUGUUUUCCACCCAGAGUACCAUCUUGAAUCUGAGGAGAGAGCUAAAAAAAUUUGGUGAUGGCGCUUUUCUAAAGAUAAAUUAUCCAAAUACCUGUGAACACAUGAAAAACUGCUGGUCAAAUAUUAAAAGAGAAAGUUAGACUGCUGUAUUGCCAAUUAUGAUUUUUCCUUCAAUCAUUAAGAAACAUAUAAAU